CCUACGGGAGGCAGCAGUGGGGAAUAUUGGACAAUGGGGGCAACCCUGAUCCAGCCAUGCCGCGUGUGUGAAGAAGGCCCUCGGGUUGUAAAGCACUUUCAGUGAGGAAGAACGCCUGGUGGUUAAUACCCAUCAGGAAAGACAUCACUCACAGAAGAAGCACCGGCUAACUCCGUGCCAGCAGCCUCGGUAAUACGGAGGGUGCGAGCGUUAAUCGGAAUUACUGGGCGUAAAGCGCGCGUAGGUGGCUUGAUAAGCCGGUUGUGAAAGCCCCGGGCUCAACCUGGGAACGGCAUCCGGAACUGUCAAGCUAGAGUGCAGGAGAGGAAGGUAGAAUUCCCGGUGUAGCGGUGAAAUGCGUAGAGAUCGGGAGGAAUACCAGUGGCGAAGGCGGCCUUCUGGACUGACACUGACACUGAGGUGCGAAAGCGUGGGUAGCAAACAGGAUUAGAUACCCGAGUAGUC
rnacentral:rRNA from 1 species